ensembl:snoRNA small nucleolar RNA SNORA40
GGCACUUGAGUAUGUUUUUUGUCUUAACUUGGUGGACUGAAAACUUACUGAACAGGUACAAAAAAUAAAAACCUCUUUUGCAACGUAGAACUCAUUGUUCAGUAUGAGUUUUGAUACAUAUAAGAAGGAAUAUU